UAUUAAUUUAUAACAUAACCGAAGAACAGUACACUAACGGUCACGGCGUUUGUUGUUUCAUUUAUUUGACUUUGGUGCUCUGUGAACUUUCGGCUUUUUGACAAUGACCACCUGAGACUUCUGAUUUUACAGCUUUGGUCCCUUAAAAGAUUUUAACCAGACCCAUCGCCUCUUUGUUUUCUUGACAAUUUGUUAUUUCAGAGCUAAGAUGGUUGUCGCCGGCGUUAUACGAAAGAGAUGAACAAACAAACCAUCAGGGUAAAUUAGUCUUAAAACCUCACCGCUGCUCGGUAAUAGAGGAAAACCACCGGUGUCGCCACUGUCGCGUCACCGCCUUCUGGUGUAGAACCCUACCAGCACUGAUCUGCAUGCAGUCGAUUUGUCCGAUCCAAGCAUCGGGACCUCCCGUCUUCUUCGUCCAUCCACCUUGAUUCGACAUCUGGAGAAAUUACCCUGUACAAUCGUUGUCGCUUGCGUUGUUGAAACGGACACCGCGAACCGCCAUGGCCGCCGCAAGUUUUCCGUCGCCGGUGGCGGAAAUCUAACGGUCAAACUUAGGCUAGAGGUGAGGCGUCACCUUGUCACCUCACCUUUUAUGGCGUCGGUGGGGCUCCAUCACCCAUACCGCCAUCUUUAAGGGAGGGGCGCCAUGAUGGUGUCGCCAACAUGUUAACGAGAGAGAGGGGCGCUAUAAGGGGAAGAAAAGGCGGCUAAGAUAGGUUAAAGGGGGUGCUAUAGUUUGAUAUGAAUUUUUGUAAAAGGUGAAGGUGAGAUCCGACAACAAAAAGCAUGACAAAGAGUAUGGGGCUUCAUCGCGGCACUCUAGAGGGUCGAUCAAGUUGUCUAUACACUAGAAGAACAUGACCAACAAGCGACAUUCCGUCAGUAACUUCAUAGACACACCGUCAGUAACUUCAUAGACACAUCGGUGGCUUCUGUUGGUAAGUGUACCACAAGAGAGCUCUUUCUGGCAUUCGAAGAAGAGUUGUCGGCCACCGAAGAAGACUUGGUUACCACUAGAGAAGCCUUGUCAGUAUUCCUUCGCUAAGUUUUCGCAGCCCUGGUGCCCAAGAUGUGAAGCCGAAGAAACAAUUGACCACCUACUCAUCACAUGUACGAUGGCGAAAUCUAUUUGGUGGAAUAUUCUAGCCUGGACGAAACUACCUAUAAACUUGCCAUUUAUCUCAAUCGCGGAAGCUUUGGAGUGCAUUGACAAUCAAUCAGGAUCUUUCACUUGGAAGAAAAUAAUAAAAGUAGUGUUCCAAACAACCAUGUGGCACAUCUGGAAGGCAAGAAAUGACAAAGAAUUUAACGGCAUUCAGAAGACGGGGGGAAAAGUCGUAGAAGAAAUAAAAGCAGACACGUUUUUAUGGUUAAAACCUAGAUCAAAAUUCAGUAAUAUUGUAUGGGAGAGAUGGGAGAAUUUUAAUGUUACAGAUAUUGUGUCGUAAGCUUUUAUAGGGGGUAGGGGGUUUCUCUUUUGUACCAUUUUUGGGUUUUACAGCAUAUGCUGACCUGUUCUAUUAUCAUAGAA